GGUCUGGGGGGGCCGCUGGCGGCCCCCACCCACGAGGCUGCCCCGCGCCAGCUUCUGCAGCUCGACGGGCACGACGGCGCUGGGGCAGUGCUUCUCGAUGUAGUCCUGGAAACCCUGCACUCCCAUGCAAACGUUCUCCUGAAUUGCCAGUGCAUGCUGACUGAUCUCCCAGUGUGCACAGAUUAGUAGACCUGAGCUGAGGCCAGCUACGUGCUGUCUUUGAGAGUACAGAAGAGAAGAACAUGUCGCUUAGCAACCCCAGCCAGGACUGGGGGGAGGUGGCGAGGGAUGGAUGGAUGGUCCAGAGUCACCAAAGGGAAAGAUUCAUCCCCACCAGAAAACUCAACUUCUAAAGAUGCUUCUCCAAAAUAAAGAACGCAAAUAAACAAACACGGGGUCUUGCAGAAUGAGAAAUCAGCCAUCAAACCCCACAGCCCUGCAUGGCUGAAUUAUGGAACAGAAAACUGCUGCAAAAACACUGUGUAAGAGGAAGAAUGACAGAACCAGCCCACUUCAGUGUGCUUCACACAGAUGAAAAAUCUCUCCUAAUUAAAGGUAAACGGCUAUGCCUGAUCUUAUAUUAAUGAUCAUAAAAGUUGUUUAAAAUCUGCUUAAUUUUUAUGUCACUUUCCAUCUCCUAAUGACCUGUAACUUAUUGCUGAACAUAUCACAGUACAGUUAAGCCCUAAAUGCUAGCGGUUCACAUUUCUCCCAGAGCUCAGUACAGCCAAUACUGUGCUCAAAUUCUGCAGUAAAACUGCAGAUUAUUAGAGCAAAUGCAUAGCCCUGUCUACAGGCUAGAAGCUUAUCUAAACCGGCAUCUACUGCAUAUUCCAGCAGUUACACGCAUACUCAAAACUGGACACUAUUGCACUAUGAAGUAGCAUUUUAUUUUAUCUAGUAAGGGCAGUGAUAAAUGAUAGCGUAGACUUCCUUAAGAUCUAAGUUUCUUAAAUAAAUUGAUACAUAAGUAACAAGAUCAUUUUUUUUUACCCAUAUGCAGCAAAGACCAGUAGAUGAGAAUCCUGUCUCCAGUGAGAUCAAUGGGAAUUUCACUGGUUACUGCAGCGGUACCUGGGUUUUACCCAGGUUCUCUGAGAGGCUGUUUUCUGGAUUGGCAUCACUUAUGUAAUGUGAUUCUUUCUUUCAUGAAAUUUCAAUAAGAGAAAAGUGUAAAGCACUUGGCAUUAAGUGGUCUAAGUUUGUUAACAUACAGCAUUUAGAAUGCAGCGCAAAUGAG